AACGAACGCUGGCGGCAUGCCUAACACAUGCAAGUCGAACGAGACCUUCGGGUCUAGUGGCGCACGGGUGCGUAACGCGUGGGAACCUGCCCUUAGGUUCGGAAUAACUCCCCGAAAGGGGUGCUAAUACCGGAUAAUGUCUUCGGACCAAAGAUUUAUCGCCUUUGGAUGGGCCCGCGUUGGAUUAGCUAGUUGGUAGGGUAAAAGCCUACCAAGGCGACGAUCCAUAGCUGGUCUGAGAGGAUGAUCAGCCACACUGGGACUGAGACACGGCCCAGACUCCUACGGGAGGCAGCAGUGGGGAAUAUUGGACAAUGGGCGAAAGCGUGAUCCAGCAAUGCCGCGUGAGUGAUGAAGGCCUUAGGGUUGUAAAGCUCUUUUACCCGGGAUGAUAAUGACAGUACCGGGAGAAUAAGCUCCGGCUAACUCCGUG
rnacentral:rRNA from 1 species